rnacentral:rRNA from 1 species
CCCUUGAGUGGGGGGUAACUCCGCGAAAGCGAAGCUAAUACCGCGUAAGACUACAGAGUCGCAUGAUUCAGUAGUAAAAGGUUCCGGUUUACCGGAAUCGCUCAAGGAUGAAUCCGCGCCUGAUUAGCUAGUUGGUAGGGUAGCAGCCUACCAAGGCAACGAUCAGUAGCCGGCCUGAAAGGGUGUUCGGCCACACUGGAAUUGAGAUACGGUCCAGACUCCUACGGGAGGCAGCAGUGGGGAAUCUUGCGCAAUGGGGGAAACCCUGACGCAGUGACGCCGCGUGAACGAUGAAGUCCUUCGGGAUGUAAAGUUCUGUCAGGCGGGAAGAACCCUCCCCGAUGCAAAUCGGGGAGAAUGACGGUACCGCCAGAGGAAGCACUGGCUAAUUCCGUGCCAGCAGCCGCGGUAACACGGAGAGUGCAAGCGUUGUUCGGAAUUACUAGGCGUAAAGAGCGUGUAGGUGGUUAGCUAAGUCGGAUGUGAAAAUCCCAAGCUUAACUUGGAAUGUGCAUUCGAAACUGGUUAACUUGAGUGUAGGAGAGGAGAGCGGAAUUCCUAGUGUAGCGGUGAAAUGCGUAGAUAUUAGGAAGAACACCGGUGGCGAAGGCGGCUCUCUGGCCUAAAACUGACACUGAGACGCGAAAGCGUGGGUAGCAAACAGGAUUAGAUACCCUGGUAGUCCACGCCGUAAACGAUGGGCAUUAGGUGUAGGAGGUAUCCAAUCCUUCUGUGCCGAAGUUAACGCAUUAAAU